rnacentral:rRNA from 1 species
AUUGAACGCUGGCGGCAUGCCUUACACAUGCAAGUCGAACGGUAACGCGGGGCAACCUGGCGACGAGUGGCGAACGGGUGAGUAAUGCAUCGGAACGUGCCCAGUAGUGGGGGAUAGCCCGGCGAAAGCCGGAUUAAUACCGCAUACGACCUGAGGGUGAAAGCGGGGGACCGAAAGGCCUCGCGCUAUUGGAGCGGCCGGUGUCAGAUUAGGUAGUUGGUGGGGUAAAGGCCUACCAAGCCUGCGAUCUGUAGCUGGUCUGAGAGGACGACCAGCCAAACUGGGACUGAGACACGGCACAGACUCCUACGGGAGGCAGCAGUGGGGAAUUUUGGACAAUGGGCGCAAGCCUGAUCCAGCCAUGCCGCGUGCGGGAAGAAGGCCUUCGGGUUGUAAACCGCUUUUGUCAGGGAAGAAACGCUCUGGGUUAAUACCCUGGGGUAAUGACGGUACCUGAAGAAUAAGCACCGGCUAACUACGUGCCAGCCGCCGCCGUAA